rnacentral:rRNA from 1 species
CAGCAGUAGCCGCGGGAAUACGGAGGGGGCUAGCGUUGUUCGGAAUUACUGGGCGUAAAGCGCACGUAGGCGGCUUGGUAAGUUAGAGGUGAAAGCCCGGAGCUCAACUCCGGAAUUGCCUUUAAGACUGCCGAGCCAGUAGGUGAGAGAGGUAAGUGGAAUUCCGAGUGUAGAGGUGAAAUUCGUAGAUAUUCGGAAGAACACCAGUGGCGAAGGCAAUCCCCUGGACCUGUACUGACGCUCAUGCACGAGAGCGUGGGGAGCAAACAGGAUAAGAGACCCCUGUAGUCCCUGUCUCUUAUAU